CUCAACUGGUUAGAGCACUCGCCUGUAGAAUUGCAGCUUCUAAGAGAGAUCUUAGUCGAAAACGAGGUGAAUUGUCUGGAAACCCACACUCUUCAAUAGAAGAACGGGCAAUCAGCAGCCAAGCCCGUCAGUUGACGGGAAGGUUCAGAGACUAUCCUACGGGAGUACUGGAACACAAAGUGUUUUGGGAAGCGCCUCGCACCCUAACCUAUUAAUUGGAAGGGUGAUGAUAUAGUCCACGCCCUUUGGAAACAUUGGG
rnacentral:ncRNA from 1 species